GCAGACACAUUCCAGCCAAUCAGCAGCAGACCCUCCCUCCCAGACCCUCCCACCUCCUGGACAGCAUCCAUUGUGAAGCUGCAUUCUUAGUGAGCUGUCCAGGACGUGGGAGGGUCUGGGAGGGAGGGUCUGCUGCUGAUUGCCUGGAAUGUGUCUG
rnacentral:miRNA from 1 species